rnacentral:rRNA from 1 species
GACGAACCGUGCGAACGUUAUUCGGAAUCACUGGGCUUAAAGCGCGUGUAGGCGGCCCGGCACGUCCGUCGCUGAAAUCCCCCGGCUCAACCGGGGAAGUGGCGUGGAUACGACCGGGCUGGAGGGGGGUAGGGGGGACGGGAACUUCCGGUGGAGCGGUGAAAUGCGUUGAGAUCGGAAGGAACGCCCGCGGCGAAAGCGCGUCCCUGGACCCCGCCUGACGCUGAGACGCGAAAGCCAGGGGAGCGAACGGG